rnacentral:rRNA from 1 species
ACACUCCUACGGGAGGCAGCAGUGGGGAAUCUUGCGCAAUGGGCGAAAGCCUGACGCAGCCAUGCCGCGUGAAUGAUGAAGGUCUUAGGAUUGUAAAAUUCUUUCACCGGGGACGAUAAUGACGGUACCCGGAGAAGAAGCCCCGGCUAACUUCGUGCCAGCAGCCGCGGUAAUACGAAGGGGGCUAGCGUUGCUCGGAAUUACUGGGCGUAAAGGGAGCGUAGGCGGACAUUUAAGUCAGGGGUGAAAUCCCGGGGCUCAACCUCGGAAUUGCCUUUGAUACUGGGUGUCUUGAGUAUGAGAGAGGUGUGUGGAACUCCGAGUGUAGAGGUGAAAUUCGUAGAUAUUCGGAAGAACACCAGUGGCGAAGGCGACACACUGGCUCAUUACUGACGCUGAGGCUCGAAAGCGUGGGGAGCAAACAGGAUUAGAAACCCUAGUAGUCCCAUGA